GUACUGGAUAGCUCAGUUGGUUAAGAGUGUGGUGCUAAUAACACCAAGGUUGCAGGUUCAAUCCCCAUACAGUGGUACC